GGCGAAGACGGAGAGGGCGCAGUGGUCCCGCGACCAUCAAACCAACAACACCGUUCUGCCGCCGCCGCCGCCGCCGCCGCCGAUCGUCGUCGUCGUCAUCGUUGUUCGGCGAAAACGACCCCUUCUACUCUUCCUCCUCUUCUUCUUCUUCUUCUUCUCUUCUCUUCUCUUCGCCGUCUUCUCGUCGCCGCCGACGCGACGUUGCUCUACUUCCUUCUCGAGCCGACGACCGUUCUUGUCAUCGUCAUCGUCAUCGUCAUCGAUCUGCCUAUCUUGUGACGCAACAUUAUCCUGCGGAAUAGAUCCUGGGACGGAUGGAUCCUCGAAGGAUCCUGUCGCCGCUACCAGGAGGAUUGCGCUGUAUCCUGAGAAGAUCCGGAGAGUAAAAGAGAGAGAAGAGAGAGAGAGAGAGAGAGAGAGAGAGAGUGAGAGAGAGAAUGGGAGACAGAGAAGAGGAAGCGAGUGACCGCCAGAUACCAGGUAGAACCAUGCGGUUUGUCGAACCUCUCAUGAAUGGAAGUAGGUUCGCCAGGAUCGAUGGGCUGAAGGCGUGUUGCCUUCAAGGGAGGAUUGGUGUAUCCGUGACGUUUCCAACCCCACCUGAGCAGGGGUGCCGCGACGUGCACGUGCUCGAUUACGUCACGAGGAUCGCAGGACGUGGGCCAUUCAGGUAUCACCCCUGGAAAAAAUCGAGGAAUUUGCUCCGAAUCUCGAUAGAGGAAGAACGAGAGACUUGGUGUGUGCCUUCCAGGAUGUCUCCGGAACCUGUAACGAAUUUCAACGAGAUUUACUGCCGGAUGAUGUCCGAAGGAAAAAUUGAGGAGGAAGAAGAAGAAGUGUGAGUCUGUGCUCCUUGCGUUCACUGCGGGCUUCCAUGUGCCAACUUUUCAAAAUUCAUAAGGCACGCGGUGAAUGCCAAGAGCGGACCAAAAUCAACGAUCUUCGUCGAGAGUAAUCGAUUUAAAUUCGUCGAGUAUCUCUCAAAUUUCUGUUACGCAAGGUUAGUAGUAAAAGUCAACGCGAUAGUCCAUUUUCGAGGAAUUUAAUAAUGUAAAUCUAAUGAUUAAUUAUUGUAUUAUGUCUCUGUCCUCCCACCCUUUCAAGUUUAUUAAUUAACCACAUUAGUCUCGACACAUCGUUUAUUAUUUAUGUUUGAAAAUUAUUCCAUAAUUAUUUUAAUAUUAUUGAAUAUUAUUAUUGUUAUUAUUAUUAAAUUAUUAUGUGUUAGCAUAAUAUUUAGGAGCCUUUAAUUCGAUUAAUAAUCGGUAAGAGAUACGCUUAAUAAUUAUUAAACUCGAUUUUUUUAACACGCGAGCUUUCCAGCAUCGUCCAUUGAAAGUAAUGUUUUAUCUCUUGAAAUUUAAAGUAGUAUAAAAUCGAAAUAAUAAUACAUUCUCUUUGGUAUAUAAAUAAAUGUAAACUUUUACCAAAUCUUUUUUUUUUACAAUAUUCUGGGUCGUUGCAAAGAGAAUUAAUUUCUCGAGCGUCAAAAAUUAAUUUAAUCUGGAUAUCUGCUAUUUUCUCCGUCAAGCCUGUCAAGCAUCAAAACAGAAAGAGAAAAGGAGUGGAUGGAGUGGCCAAUGGUGGAAAGCAAGCGUCUCUUCGAUGAACGAAUGGGGGUAGUCGAGGUCGGGUUUAAAGCUGAAAAGCUUCUUAAUGAAAAUCGGGGAAUUCCCGGGGCGUAGAGGACGAGGACGCGGCUGUUGGUUGUAUCGACCGAGACGAAAGGGCGGCGAAGGGAGAGUGGCGGUGGGGAUGCUGCGCGGUUUAAGGGUGGACGCACGUUGCCUGGCAACCUUCCCGCAGCAUCCCUCCUGGACCGCCGCCGCCGCCAUCGACGACUUCCAUGAUCAUUGUUGUCGUCGUUGUUGCGCGUCCGCCAUUAUUUAGGAUCGAUAUCUCAUCCCGACGUCUCGUUCUCUCGAUUCGUGAUUUCCGUCGACGUGUGUACGUGUAUGUGUGCGAGUUUUUUUUUUUUUUUUAGAAAGAAUUUUGUAAUCUGAUAAUCUGUCGAUGAAAAUCGAAAUCUGUACGGAACAUUUUAAUUUUUUUUUUUUAUCGGAAAAAUAUAUUUCUCUCCCGAGGUUCUAAGAUUUCUAUAAUGAUUCCAAGAACUAGGAUUUUAAGCUCUAAUAACUGAAAAGAAAAUUAAAACAUUGCAAAAUCAUGGAAAUUGUAGGUCGGUUCUUUUAUUAGCGAGAGAAAGAAUAACAACGUUCAGAUUUCGAUUUUAAAUUCUAAAUUUAUAAAAAUAUACAAUA